rnacentral:lncRNA from 1 species
GGGGUGGUGGAGGAGGGAGGGGGUGGUGGAGGAGGGAGAAGGGGUAAUGAAGGUGGAGGAGGGAGAAGGAGGAAGAAGAGGGAGAGGGGGUGAUGGAGAAGGUAGAGGGUUGGUGGAGGAAGGUGGCAGUGGUGUUCCUAACCCUUGAUCUUGGCUUGUUAACCCUUUCUGAGCUUCCCUCUAGUGGGGGGAUGAGGAUCGUCGGUUGUUCCCACAUUUAAGGGCAGAGCCUGGCGGGGGGUGGUGUUGGUGCUCGAGGGUCACGCGCUGGUGGCUUUGCCGCGGUGGUGGCAGCGGUGGAAGAGGCGACACCACUGGAGGCGGCGGAGGGACGGGCCCAUCAACGCUGCAGGCGGGGUGGAUGUGUGCAUCUCCUGGAGCCGGCUGGGACCCCGCAUCGGGCUUUGGUCAAGGAUCUUUCGAAGGGGUAGGAAGACGGGAAACUCAGAAAGUGCUGAAAUCUGGGCACUAGAGUCACAGUGUGUCUGAUUUUUACCUGCAUCCUCACUCCCACUCCAGGUCAUAGCACGUUCCCUGGAUCAGGGUUUCUGUAGUUAAUCAGAGGGCAUCUCCGCCCCCUACCCAAACCCCAUCCCGACAAUAUAUCCUUUUUAUUUCACCUCCUAAACCAGGGGUUGCAAACUGGGAUGCACAUGGGGCCAGGCAGAUGCACAAUGGGUCCAACUCUUACCUGAUUUCAACUAUGCACCAGGCGCUGUCUAUAGUUAUUCAUUCAUUGAAUCCUCACCACGCCCCCUGAACUUGCUACUUGUGAUGACUGUGAUUUUACAGAUAGGGAAACAGGUAGGCAAGGUGAAAGUCGCUUACCCAAGAUCACAUGAGUAGCAAGUGCCAAGUCAGGGUGGGACUCCAGGCAGGUGGCUCCAGAGUCCUGGCUCUUAACCACCGUGCUGUGCUGAGCAGAUGAGCUGUGGGGGUCACCAGGAGCCCCACUAGGGAGAUUUAACGGCUGCCAGGCAGAAUCGCAGACCCUGUGUGGCCAGACUGUCCAAUUUAUUGUCUCAGCCUCCUGAGUAGCUGGGACUACAGGCAUGCACCACCACACCUGGCUAAUUUUUGUAUAUUUUAGUAGAGAUGGGAUUUCACCAUGUUGGCCAGGCUGGUCUCAAACUCCUGACCUCAGGUGAUCCACCUGCCUCGGCCUCCCAAAGUGCUGGGAUUACAAGCGUGAGCCACCUCACCCGGCCUUAAUUUUUGUAUUUUUAGUAGAGACAGGGUUUUGCCAUGAUGGCUAGGCUGGUCUCAAACUCCUAACCUCGGGUUAUCUGCCUGCCUUGGCCUCCCAAAGUGCUGGGAUUACAGGCAUGAGUCACUGCAGCCAGCCCUGAGUUCUUAUUUUCACACCCCUGAAGCUCAGAUCUGGCCCCACAUAAUUUAGUGCAGGGAAGAAUUUUGGUGAAGGGAAGAAGUUUAUUUUGGA